UACGGAGGGGGCUAGCGUUGUUCGGAAUCACUGGGCGUAAAGGGCGCGUAGGCGGCCAUUCAAGUCAGAGGUGAAAGCCCAAGGCUCAACCUUGGAAUUGCCUUUGAUACUGUUUGGCUUGAGACCGGAAGAGGUUAGUGGAACUGCGAGUGUAGAGGUGAAAUUCGUAGAUAUUCGCAAGAACACCAGUGGCGAAGGCGGCUAACUGGUCCGGUUCUGACGCUGAGGCGCGAAAGCGUGGGGAGCAAACAGG
rnacentral:rRNA from 1 species